ensembl:miRNA
AAGUAUUAGGUUGGUGCAAAAGUAAUUGCAGUUUUUGUUGUUACUUUUAAUAGCAAAAACCGCAAUUACUUUUGCACCAAGUUAAUAUUGA